CAGGUAAAGAAACGGAGACUUUUGAUUGGUGAAUCGGUGGAACUCGAGUCGAUUGGACAUUUCUGAAGUGAAGUAAUCGUACACCUCACCCUGAUUGGUAUGAAAUGGAUCCGGAUGUAGCUUUGCGAGCGAUGAUUGGUAACCGUGGAGGACAGGAAGAGCAGCGGGGCGAUGUGAUUGGUGUGGACUGUGUCAUAGACAAGGAGAGGGGGCGGAGCGAGAGGCCUGCAGCGGCGGUGGCUGCAUAGCUCCGCACAGAGCAUGCGCCGCGGAGGGCCUCCCGGGCGCCAUUUUGUACGAUGCUCUUUCCCAUUUUAGGCGGGGAGGAAGGGAGCGGGAGUGGUCGCUGCGUCUCCCGGGGGGCUCUGCCUCGUCUCGGGCUAGGGGAUAGGCUCCGUGGGACUUCCUCCUUCCGGUUGAAGGCUCCGUCUUCUCUCCUGUCCGGAGGCGAUGGUGGCUGUAGCGAGCGGGUAGCGUUUCCCCUCCCUUGGCGCGGUUAUGGCGCAGCAGCCGGGGGGAGGGGGAAGCUCGAUGAAGCCGGACCCGGAAGUGAAGGGACCUCUGAGGAGCCGCUCACCUAGCCCAUGGCCGCGACGGAGGAGGAGGAGGAGGAGCUCCGUGAGGAGGGGGAGGUGGUAGCAGCCCGCGGUGUUGUCUGGGCCACGGAGGCGGGGCCGUACGGGAGGCGGCCGGGUACGGCAGCGUAAGUCGGUCGGCGCAGCCCCGUGAGGAUUGGACCCGCAGCUCCGGUGGCAAGAAGAAACAUGCCUGCUGUACAAGACUUGAGCCAUACGUUGUUGAAUGCAUACGUGAUCGGCCGAAGAUGCCACUGGAUUACUUUUUUAUUCUUCCUUCCAACGUUUCAGGUAAUUGUUUGUUUCUGAAUCACUUUCAUCUUAAAAACCCCAGGCUAGAUUUGCCUCAUAACUAAUUACUUCAAAUACACUUCUAGUUGCCAAAACAAUAGACAAAGUAAACUUUGUACAGUUUAUUCUAUUCUGGACUUGUAAAAUGGAUUUUUGAACCUACUAAAUAAAAUUCUGUUGCUUACCUUA